rnacentral:rRNA from 1 species
UGAGUGGAUGACGGUACCGGAAGAAUAAGCACCGGCUAACUACGUGCCAGCAGCCGCGGUAAUACGUAGGGUGCGAGCGUUAAUCGGAAUUACUGGGCGUAAAGCGUGCGCAGGCGGUUUGCUAAGACCGAUGUGAAAUCCCCGGGCUCAACCUGGGAACUGCAUUGGUGACUGGCAGGCUAGAGUAUGGCAGAGGGGGGUAGAAUUCCACGUGUAGCAGUGAAAUGCGUAGAGAUGUGGAGGAAUACCGAUGGCGAAGGCAGCCCCCUGGGCCAAUACUGACGCUCAUGCACGAAAGCGUGGGGAGCAAACAGGAUUAGAUACCCUGGUAGUCCACGCCCUAAACGAUGUCAACUAGUUGUUGGGGAUUCAUUUCCUUAGUAACGUAGCUAACGCGUGAAGUUGACCGCCUGGGGAGUACGGUCGCAAGAUUAAAACUCAAAGGAAUUGACGGGGACCCGCACAAGCGGUGGAUGAUGUGGAUUAAUUCGAUGCAACGCGAAAAACCUUACCUACCCUUGACAUGGUCGGAAGCCCGAUGAGAGUUGGGCGAGCUCGAAAGGAGAACCGA